GUUUCGCUUGUCCCCUGCACCUCCUCCUGUGGGAGCCACCGGCUGGGCGGGGAGAGUGUCUGCUGGCAAGUCUGCUGUCUAGACAUCCAAGUUUCUCCUGAUGGAUGUUGUUCUUUUUGACUUUUUUCUCCAGCACAAACAAGGCCUUUCUCAUCAAGCUGGAAAGCGGCACUGCAAUUUCUCGCUGUAACCUCUGGUUACUCAAUGGCUCCGCAUCCCUAACAAAUGGCCCAUGGAGAAUGAAGCCAAAAACAGAGGACCACCUUCCUAACGAGUGAUUAUGUGGAAAUUUAGAUGCCAAAGGUGGAGACCAAAGCAUAUGGCUUUGUGAUGAGCAGUGUGAUUUGCCAGGGCUCAGAAGAUGGAAGGAGAUAAAUAACAGCAGUAGUGGGGCUAUAUCUAGGGAAGAGAGAUGAGUGGAGUUCCAUGUCCACCUGUCAUAGGUGCCCUCCAAAUGCUCUUCAGAGUUGGCGGGGGGGGGGGUCAGGGCGUCUGGAUGUGUUGCUAUUUUCCUUUGACUUAAAGAGAACUGUUUGUAUCUGUGUCUCCCUGUUGCUAGUGUGGAAUUCAGCCUGGGCUGUUAAUCUAGAUAUUUCAGAUAGUGCAGAAGAUCAGCUGUAUUGGCUUGUUCUUACAGUAGUGUGAGAAAACUUGAAAAUAAAAUAAAGGAUGAUUAAUCA
rnacentral:lncRNA from 1 species